rnacentral:rRNA from 1 species
CCUACGGGAGGCAGCAGUGGGGAAUAUUGCACAAUGGGCGCAAGCCUGAUGCAGCGACGCCGCGUGAGGGAUGACGGCCUUCGGGUUGUAAACCUCUUUCAGUAGGGAAGAAGCGAAAGUGACGGUACCUGCAGAAGAAGCGCCGGCUAACUACGUGCCAGCAGCCGCGGUAAUACGUAGGGCGCAAGCGUUAUCCGGAAUUAUUGGGCGUAAAGAGCUCGUAGGCGGUUUGUCGCGUCUGCCGUGAAAGUCCGGGGCUCAACUCCGGAUCUGCGGUGGGUACGGGCAGACUAGAGUGAUGUAGGGGAGACUGGAAUUCCUGGUGUAGCGGUGAAAUGCGCAGAUAUCAGGAGGAACACCGAUGGCGAAGGCAGGUCUCUGGGCAUUAACUGACGCUGAGGAGCGAAAGCAUGGGGAGCGAACAGGAUUAGAUACCCUGGUAGUCCAUGCCGUAAACGUUGGGCACUAGGUGUGGGGGACAUUCCACGUUUUCCGCGCCGUAGCUAACGCAUUAAGUGCCCCGCCUGGGGAGUACGGCCGCAAGGCUAAAACGUCAAAGAGUAGUAGACGUGNGAGUCGCGACGACGGACACACGGAGGAGAGG